rnacentral:lncRNA from 1 species
AUUGGUUGACCAAGGGUUGAUUAAUGCUUCUACACCAAGAAGUUUGGGGUUCGAGUCCCAGAUAUUGCGAUUUAUUAACAAAUUUGCAGAUUAAUGGAGGCAAGUGUGCAAGAGAUCUUCAGCGAUGUACAAUUAUAGCCGUUCGCCAAGAUUCUACGCAGAGAAGGAAGUGUCGACGGGUCGUGGAUCAUUGAAGGUAUUCAUCAAGAUUAUGAAGAAGAAAGUGUAGUCUGUCGUGGAUCUAAUAAGGGUCGGAAGGAAUUGUCAGUUGUAGAAUCGUCUAUGUAACAGUUCUCAUAAUUUGCAAUUAAU